rnacentral:rRNA from 1 species
AUUGAACGCUGGCGGCAGGCUUAACACAUGCAAGUCGAGCGAGUGGCGGACGGGUGAGUAAUGUUUGGGAAACUGCCUGAUGGAGGGGGAUAACUACUGGAAACUGUCGCUAAUACCGCAUACCAUCGGAUGUGCCCAGAGGGGAUUAGCUAGUAGGUGGGGUAAUGGCUCACCUAGGCGACGAUCCCUAGCUGGUCUGAGAGGAUGACCAGCCACACUGGAACUGAGACACGGUCCAGACUCCUACGGGAGGCAGCAGUGGGGAAUAUUGCACAAUGGGGGCAAGCCUGAUGCAGCCAUGCCGCGUGUGUGAAGAAGGCCUUCGGGUUGUAAAGCACUUUCAGCGAGGAGGCGUUACUCGCAGAAGAAGCACCGGCUAACUACGUGCCAGCAGCCGCGGUAAUAC